UACGAAGGGGGCUAGCGUUGCUCGGAAUCACUGGGCGUAAAGGGUGCGUAGGCGGGUCUUUAAGUCAGGGGUGAAAUCCUGGAGCUCAACUCCAGAACUGCCUUUGAUACUGAAGAUCUUGAGUUCGGGAGAGGUGAGUGGAACUGCGAGUGUAGAGGUGAAAUUCGUAGAUAUUAGGAAGAACACCAGUGGCGAAGGCGGCGACCUGGGCCAAUAUUGACGCUGAGGUGCGAAAGCGUGGGGAGCAAACAGG
rnacentral:rRNA from 1 species